CUAGCCGUAAACGAUGGAUACUAGGCGUUGUGAGUAUCGACCCUCACAGUGUCGUAGCUAACGCGUUAAGUAUCCCGCCUGGGGAGUACGCGCGCAAGCGUAAAACUCAAAGGAAUUGACGGGGGCCCGCACAAGCGGUGGAGUAUGUGGUUUAAUUCGAUGCAACGCGAAGAACCUUACCAGGACUUGACAUGUCGCGAAUCUCAGGGAAACUUGAGAGUGCCUUCGGGAGCGCGAACACAGGUGGUGC
rnacentral:rRNA from 1 species